UUUUCCUUCUAGCUGCUUGUGGCCCAUCUUGGGGGUUGAUGAGGUUGACCUUGAAGAAGCCCUUCACUCUCAUCCUGAUGUUGUUGGGGGAUAAACUAAGAGGCCAUCAAGGACCCCAGAGAUGAGAGGCAAGAGGCUCAACUUCUCCUGUCUUGCCCUUGUUGCAAAGUGCCUUCCUGGCGCCUGCUUCCCUGCUAUCACCCCCCCCCCCAGCUGGGCCCCACACACCUCCGUGCUGAGCCAGGCCUUCAAGGGCACGUGCCAAGGUUGCUCUCCUCCCCAAGGCAAACCAGCUGAAUCUCAGAAGCAGCCGGUUCCCACAGGGCAAAGUGCCAGCAGAGGCACCUGAGCUUCCUGCUGGGGGAGGAGGGGGCCAAGGAGCGCCAGAGCCAUGGAAGGAGGCCCUGGGGGCCCAGCCUCACGGGAGAUGAUGGCACCUGUUCUGUGGCUGCAGAGGACUCCAGGUCCACCGCUGUGCCCGACUGAGCUGGGGGACCAACAGGACUGACUGGCAAGAGGUCUUUGCCUCCACUCUCAUUUAGCCAGACCCAGACCCACCCAUGCAGGCCUUGGGGUGGUGCUGAUCAGGCCCAGGGAGAGCAGGGCAGCUGGCUCUGCGUGAAGCGAGGGAGCAGGGAGCUGGCUAAUCAUUAAGCCCCACAGCGUCUGUUUUCUGGCCAGAAGCCUAGAGGAGAGAGGGAGGGGGCAGCCUUCACCGCCAGCCUUUACCUGCAUAGCUCCAGUGACGGUUUCCAUGGCCAGGAGGAAGACCUGGAAAGAGAAAGGAAAGCCAGGGAUCAGGAAGUCUGAAGGUUCUCCAGCAAGGCUCAACCGCUGCUCCCAUCCUCCUGGAUAUGGCUGGUGGGAAAGAAACACACACCUCUGGUUUAUACAAGCCAACUGCACCCUGAACUGGAGGUUCUUCCCAGACCCUUGCUUCAUUAUUUGUAUAUACAAUAAAAUAAUGCCAGAUUUCA